UACGUAGGGUGCAAGCGUUGUCCGGAAUUAUUGGGCGUAAAGAGCUCGUAGGCGGUUUGUCGCGUCUGCUGUGAAAACUCAGGGCUUAACCCUGAGCCUGCAGUGGGUACGGGCAGACUAGAGUGUGGUAGGGGAGAUCGGAAUUCCUGGUGUAGCGGUGGAAUGCGCAGAUAUCAGGAGGAACACCGGUGGCGAAGGCGGAUCUCUGGGCCGUAACUGACGCUGAGGAGCGAAAGCGUGGGGAGCGAACAGG
rnacentral:rRNA from 1 species